CUAAGAGGUGAAUGAAGGCCCAGUCAGUGCUAAUUGCAUGGGGAAGCAAUGCUGUACUAUAGUGGUUUAGACCUCAAUGCUGUAGUGAUCCCUUACUACCCUUACUAUGGAAGAAUGCUGCCCAAGAGUCCCUGGUCAAUACCCUUGGCGUCACUAGCAGGUUUUAUUGUUCACUAGAGAUGAAACCCGUGACUUUCACAGCUCAUUCAUAACAUACAAAGAAGAGCUACAUGUCCAAACAUCAAGGGUCCACUGUCACUGGAGAGUUGUUCUUCUCAAGAUUGAAUGCUUUGCUAAAGCUGGUAAAAUGGAACCAAAUCAACUGUUGAAUGGAUUUGGUCCCCUUCAACCAGCUGCAGCUGUGCAUUGAUCACUCUGACAUAGCUGCCGACUAAAGAAAGUGGGAAGAAUCGACAUCAAACCGGGCACAAGCGGUGCGUGGGCCGCCAUCAAUAACUAAUGAUGCUUACUGAAAUCUUCCUAGACAACCUCUGCUCUAAUUCAGGGGGCAGUGCUUGAAGAGUGUGCCGGUCAAUGCUGUGUAAGAGUGUCUUUAGAAGAUUAAUAAUCUACAUAGUCAUUCUGUAUUGAUCCUGUGCUGAAGGAGUGUGGGGCAGAUGUGAUAUUAACAGUUCUGCUGUUUUUUAGCUGCAGCAAUGUGACCUGCCACACAUCUCUUCAGAUCUAACUAUGUGUGAAUACUAUUAACAUAGAAAGAAUAGAAAGAGACACUUGGGGAGUUUUAUCAAAACCUGUGCAGAGGUGCAAAGGUUGACCAGUUGCCCAUAGCAACUAAUCAGAUUCCUUCUUUAAUUUUUAAAAAGAUCUCUGAAAAAUAAAAGAAGCAAUCUGAUUGGUUACCAUGGUAACUGGUCAACCUUUCCUUUGCACAGGUUUUGAUAAAUCUCCCCAGCUAAACCUAAUAUAUUCAGGCAAGUUUCACAUGAGUGUAACAUAGCCAUAGCUUGCUUCUUUCAUUUCAAACAAGGCCUCUGUAAAAUGAAAGAAAUGAUCUGAUUGGUUGCUAUAGGCAACUGAGCAACUUUGCACAAGUUUUGAUAAAUCUCCCCCACAGUGUCUACUCAUAGCAGAUGCGCAGCGGACAACCAGAGCUGCUCAGGCGCAGCAGGGAACUCGCUCUUGUGACUGCAGUCAGCGCAUCCGCAGGGUGAAAUACAAUACGGAUGCGCUUCCUGUAACCCUACCCUAAGGAAACAUCAGGGGCAAAACUUUCCUCCCAUAUUCAAAUUCCACAACAUACAAACUCCUCAAAUAUGACAAUUCCAAAUUUUCAUUCAUAAGUAAAAGGACUAUGGAAGCCAUUACAUCAUUCAAUGGAAAUCAGACAGAUUUCUGGUGUACAGGGCUAAUUUUCUGUUAAUAUUUGCAAUGGUUUCAAUUAACACUAAAACGCAAGAAGUAGACUGCAAAAUAACCGAUAGAUGGUUUAUAAUCCUACACAACUUACAGAAUUUACCCCUGUUCCCCCAUUCUUAAAGAGGUACUCCGCCUCUAGACGUCUUAUCCCCGGGGUCCUGCUGCUGGGGACCCCGGGGAUCGCUGCUGCAGCACCCCGCUAUCAUUACUGCGCAGAGCGAGUUCGCUUUGCACGUAAUGACGGGCAAUACAGGGGCCGGAGCAUCGUUACAUCACGGCUCCGCCCCUCUUGACAUCACGGCCCGCCCCCGUCAAUACAAGUCUAUGG